ensembl:lncRNA
AUAUCAGAAAGAAUGUGUAUAUCUCCUCAACUGAAUUGACUUCUCAGUGAUGGUGGUGCAGUGUCCAAGAAUGUUUUAUAAUUUAUGGUGAGUGUGUGUGUCUGUUGGUGGGAGGAAGAGGAAGGAUAAAUGAAGAUAAAUGCUGCAUUCUUAUUUGCUUUUCUUCUCUAAUGGCGGUGGAAGCCCAGGGUUGAGACAUAUACAUGACACGUAUACAGCUUCUAGUGGAAUGAAUUAAGAUGUAAAAAUUGAUCACCCUGUGGGCAACUUGAUACGUCAGAAACUUUUACAAAGGUUUUUUUCCUGUGGCUUCCUAUGUUAACAACAUAGGAAUAAUACGUUUCUUUGUUCUAUGCUGAAUAUUCCUCAGCGAUAUCAUGAAGGCGCUCUGUGACUGUAACCCUAUUUCAGGCAAAUACAGGCACACAGAUACAGUUUUAUGAUUUUUUCCUUUAUUGUGGCACUUUUCAACCUACAACUUGGGAACGUUAUUAUAGGUAGGUGAUAUUUUCUUUACCUUUAUAACUAUGUAAGGAUUCUUGAUACAAAUUAUGGAGAAAUGUUUAACACUCAUAGACUUUGCUUUCUUUCAGCUGUGGCAGACUAGCCUGUAAUAGCUUAAUCUUCCUGUUGAGAACAACUAAAAAUUUGGACAAAAUAUUAACAAAAUACAUCAGAGAACUACCAAAGCAACGUGGAUUUAAGAGGACAAGGAUGCAGAGAGGAGAGCUAAGCAAUAAGUUCUUUUCUUCUUUCCCACUUUGAAAGUAUUAAUAAAACAAACUUAUAGAAAGAGUUCUAGUUUAGUACCCAAAUGCUGAAUGACUGAAUAAGGGGAAUCUGUGUGGCAACCAUGGCUAUCACCUGGAUUUUUCAUUUAUUUCUUAGAAAAUUGCAAUUCUUUAGUCAUUUUCAACUGUGAUAUGUUUUGGCUAUUUUGGAUUUUAGACACAAGCAGAUUGGAAUUCUUCACAGUGAAUCAUGUUACAACCAAAUGACAAAGUACGGAAUACUAGUAGUUACUAUGCGUAACACAGGAAGAAGCUUUGCAUGAUUGUUAAAACUUGGAUUUGAGUCCAGUAGACAUGGAUUUGAAUCCUGGCUGGCCAUCCACAUACUAUCCAUUUUACUUUGGAUUCUUACAAGUGAGGGAGGUAAAACCCAGACUGAGACUUGCCCAAAGAUGUCCAUAGCUGUUGGAAGACCAGGAAGAGAUCUGAGACGCAGAAGAAGAUGAACACUGCCUGCCACACGAGUUCUGGAACAUAGGGGUUUUUCAAUGAGGAAAUUGAACCUUGGCUGAGGUGACAUAAAAUGGCCACAAGGUCACUUAACUGGAAAGUGUCUCCUGUCUUCAAGUCCAGUUCUUUCUAUUAUACUGUUCUGACUCUUCCUUCCUUUCACUAAUGAAGGAUUACAGUCCUAGACUUUGGGCUCCCACUGAGAAGGUGCCUCAUUGCUUAAUGGCCUCCUGGUAGCAGUGAGUAUGGCCUAAACGGCGCUUUGUGAAGAUUCCUCGUGACUUAAAUUGACUCGCGUUUGUGAGACCACGUUUGAAUUUAUAACCUAACAAACUGCCACUGUCUAUUUUGAAAGAACACAACUCACAUGUGAUCCACCCUCUCCACUCACAAUGCCUACAAAAUAAUCAUUCUUCCAAGGCUUUUAUAUUUCCUGAGCCGACUUUUCUUCCCCUUGCUUUUUCCUGAAUGAGGAAGUGCUUAUAAUCUCACCUCUUAAAUUACGUUUUAAGGUCUCACAAACCAUAGUAAAGGAAGGGAUAGAGUCAACACUAAUUUCAUAAACUAUCUGUAAGGGAAUUAAUUGCAACCUGACUUAUUUUUCUUUUAGGAAGAAGCUGUAAAGAAAUCCCAUAAAUUUUGAAGGAGGAAUAAAUUCUUUCUCAAAAGGGGUGAGAACUGUAGUAAAAUGUUAAAAUAGCACAAAUUAAAGUUGACUGGAAUCUCCUAUAAAAUCAGAUCAAGCCAAAGGGUAGUAAAUAUCACUCUGAAGAAAAAACCAGUGUCUUUCCAGCAAUAAAACUGAAGAAAAUAUUACAUUUAAAUGUAUACUGUGAAAGGCAUUCUGAGUCAAGAUAUACAAAAAUUAUACAUGUCAAGCAACCAUACUUGGCGUUGAAUUUAAUGUUUUCUCAACCCUAACUCUUAAUAGGGAAAAGAUAUUGAAUCUUUUUUUUCUAAAUAAGCUGAUACAUCCUGAAAAAUGGUUAAGUCAAGAUAUUACCUCAAAAGGAGGGUCACCUUACUUGAGACUAUAUGAAAUAGAAAAUAUAGUUAUUUCUUAAUGUUUGUAGUCUCAAUAUAUAAAUAGUGUCAUAUAAAUAUAUAUAAAAGUGCUAAACAGUGUCAUUUCUCAAUUUUCCACGUGAGGCUUCUGUGUAUCAUAUUUUUCUCUCAGUUUCUCAGUAUCUUAUCCCUCCCAUAUAUGUGGUCAUUGUAGUUAGGAAAACAAAUUAACUUUGACUUUAUCCAAGGAAAAUGAUCAUCUUUAUAUCUCCAUUGACAAGAAUUGUACCAUGCUUAAAAUAGGUUUAUUCAACUAUAUUUGUCAAAUGAAAAUCUUUAGAAAAUUGAAUCUGCAAAAGUGAUGUUUAUAAUGCAUUCUUAAAUCAAAUGAUUGAUUUGAGAUCAGUUGUUUGUCAUUAUUUAGGGUUGUCUCCCCUCUGCAUUUUGUAAAUAGUUAAGAUUCAAUUAAAUCUUCACGAAACUUUAAUGAUCUAAUCUUCACUAUAAUAUAGAUAUCAGGAGCAUUCUCUGGAAUCAUAAACCUGAAUAUCAGCCUUACCUCUACCUCUAAUUAGCACAUUACUUGAUUUCUCUGCAUCUCAGUUUCCCCAUCUGUAAAACGGGGACAAUAUACAUACUCAUCUCUUUAAGGACGUUGAAAAAAUUGUAUUCACUGAUGCAUGUGAAGCAUUUGAAGAAAUAAUGGGAAAUAGAAAAAGUGCUGAUCAAUGUUUAUUGUGAUAAUGGUUACGAGUAUUAUUUUUUAUAUACCAGUAAUUUGAUUUGGUAAAGUUAGUAAUAUAUUCUAACCUCAGCUAUCUCAUUUUAAAAAAUAUGGUGGUUGGGCUAAGUUACCGAUAAUGCCCUUUCCAACUCUAAAAGCUAAUACUUCCAUGACUCUAAGACAGGAUAUAUAUGGUCUGAAAGAUCUACUCCAUAAAUUCUGUUCAAAUAUCUGCACAGUGUUCCCCUCCCCAAUAUUAAAAAUAAUACAUGAUAGAAGUGAUCUAAAAUAGUGGAAAGUGCACUGGAGAACUUAGAGAGAAAGAUGCUUGGUUUAGAUUCAACCCUAGCAGUAGCUAGCUUUGUCGUUUUGUAAAGUUACGUUUAUAUGGCCUACGAUUCUCUAUUACAGGUGCACUGUAAGAAGAGAAGGGCCAGCCUAACUUUUUAUGCCAAACAAAAAAUGAACCAUAUAAUAAUUUUAAUAGCUUUCACAGACUUUUCACAGGUUUCCAAGAAUUCCUGUGUUCUACAAACUUUAAUGUACUCUAGCGCAUUAGAGUCCAUGGUCAGCACAUAAAAUGUUACCCAUCGGGCUUAAAAUAUAAGAUUUAACGCAGAUCAUCAACUUUGCAACAUUCCCCACAGAAAACCUCUAAUUUCCUUCAAAGUUAAUACAGGAAAAGAAAUAGAGAUGUCACAGAGAAUCUUUCAGCACUUGGUAGACAAAAAUACAAGACACAAUUUAUGCAAACUUCAGCAAGUUCUUUGGCUAAGUUUAUAACAUUUGGUAACCUCUAAUUUGCAUAUGCGUUCUUUGGAUUUUUAAGUCUGUCCAAUUUUGUCUGGUUUUGGAACAUCGUCUUUGGAGGUCAAACAAUUCUUUUGAAAUUUUGACAAUUUCUGCCAAUCCACUCUGAAAGGUUGGAGAAACACUUUCACACCUACCUUUAUUUUUCAAACAAGAUGCCCCACUGAAAACCAUAGGCAUUUAUGGUGAGCGAGCUAAAGGUCUUCUUUCUCUUUCAUUUGAUCCAAGAUUUGAAAACACUAAGUGAUGUGGUUAGCAUCAAGUGUGGGCUGGCAUCCAUAAAAAUAUUUUAUAACCUAAAGUAGGCAAAGUCUGACUGUGGAAUGAUAGAGCUCUCAGUGAAGUGUAGUUUGUUUUAACAUUGUUAUUGUUGUAGUGUUUAAUAUGGUUUAUUGUAACCUGCUUGUUGGUUGAUUUUUUUAUGGUUAAUUUAUGACUUUGUGUCCUGUGAUGGCUUAAAUAAACAUAUGUAUUUUAUUUCCUUUGAGAUUGCUAAUUGUUGUGCAGUAAAUAGGCAUUUUACU